rnacentral:rRNA from 1 species
CCUACGGGCGACAGCAGUGGGGAAUAUUGCACAAUGGGGGAAACCCUGAUGCAGCGCCGCCGCGUGAGUGAAGAAGUAAUUCGUUACGUACAGCUCUAUCAGCAGGGAAGAAAUACUGACCUUACGGUCAGCAGACGGUACCUGAGUAAGAAGCCCCGGCUAACUACGUGCCAGCAGCCGCGGUAAUACGUAGGGGGCAAGCGUUAUCCGGAUUUACUGGGGGUAAAGGGAGCGUAGACGGUGCGCCACGUCUUGAGUGAAAUGCCGCAGCUUAACUGCGGAACUGCUUUUGAAACUGGCGAACUAGCGUGCGGGAGGGGUAAGCGGAAUUCCUAGUGUAGCGGUGAAAUGCGUAGAUAUUAGGAGGAACAGCGGUGGCGAAGGCGGCUUACUGGACCGUAACUGACGUUGAGGCUCGAAAGCGUGGGGAGCAAACAGGAUUAGAUACCCCUGUAGUC